rnacentral:rRNA from 1 species
AGUGAACGCUGGCGGUAGGCCUAACACAUGCAAGUCGAACGGCAGCACAGUAAGAGCUUGCUCUUACGGGUGGCGAGUGGCGGACGGGUGAGGAAUACAUCGGAAUCUACUUUUUCGUGGGGGAUAACGUAGGGAAACUUACGCUAAUACCGCGUACGACCUACGGGUGAAAGCAGGGGAUCUUCGGACCUUGCGCGAUUAAAUGAGCCGAUGUCGGAUUAGCUAGUUGGCGGGGUAAAGGCCCACCAAGGCGACGAUCCGUAGCUGGUCUGAGAGGAUGAUCAGCCACACUGGAACUGAGACACGGUCCAGACUCCUACGGGAGGCAGCAGUGGGGAAUAUUGGACAAUGGGCGCAAGCCUGAUCCAGCCAUACCGCGUGGGUGAAGAAGGCCUUCGGGUUGUAAAGCCCUUUUGUUGGGAAAGAAAAGCAGCAGGUUAAUACCCCGCUGUUCUGACGGUACCCAAAGAAUAAGCACCGGCUAACUUCGUG